rnacentral:rRNA from 1 species
AUUGAACGCUGGCGGCAUGCCUUACACAUGCAAGUCGAACGGUAACAGGUCUUCGGAUGCUGACGAGUGGCGAACGGGUGAGUAAUAUAUCGGAACGUGCCCAGUCGUGGGGGAUAACGCAGCGAAAGCUGUGCUAAUACCGCAUACGAUCUAUGGAUGAAAGCGGGGGAUCGCAAGACCUCGCGCGAUUGGAGCGGCCGAUAUCAGAUUAGGUAGUUGGUGGGGUAAAGGCCUACCAAGCCAACGAUCUGUAGCUGGUCUGAGAGGACGACCAGCCACACUGGAACUGAGACACGGUCCAGACUCCUACGGGAGGCAGCAGCGGGGAAUUUUGGACAAUGGGCGCAAGCCUGAUCCAGCAAUGCCGCGUGCAGGAUGAAGGCCUUCGGGUUGUAAACUGCUUUUGUACGGAACGAAAAGGCUCUGGUUAAUACCUGGGGCUCAUGACGGUACCGUAAGAAUAAGCACCGGCUAACUACGUGCCAGCCGCCGCGGUAA